GGGGGAUCUGUGUGAGUUCAAGGCC
rnacentral:piRNA from 1 species